rnacentral:rRNA from 1 species
GAGUACCACGGGACACGUGAAACCCUGUGGGAAGCAGGAGGGACCACCCUCCAAGGCUAAAUACUACCUAGUGACCGAUAGCGUAUAGUACCGUGAGGGAAAGGUGAAAAGAACCCCGGGAGGGGAGCGAAAUAGAACCUGAAACCCUGCACUUACAAGCUGUGGAAGCACAUUUCUUGUGUGACCGCGUACUUUUUGUAGAACGGGCCAACGAGUUACGUUAAGUAGCAAGGUUAAGCACUUAAGGUG